UACGUAGGGUGCGAGCGUUAAUCGGAAUUACUGGGCGUAAAGCGUGCGCAGGCGGUCUGUUAAGACAGAUGUGAAAUCCCCAGGCUUAACCUGGGAACUGCAUCCGAUACUGGAUGGCUUGAAUCCGGGAGAGGGAUGCAGAAUUCCAGGUGUAGCGGUGAAAUGCGUAGAUAUCUGGAGGAAUACCGGUGGCGAAGGCGGCAUCCUGGACCGGCAUUGACGCUGAGUGAGCGAAAGCCAGGGGAGCAAACGGG
rnacentral:rRNA from 1 species